rnacentral:rRNA from 1 species
CCUACGGGAGGCUGCAGUGGGGAAUAUUGGGCAAUGGGCGCAAGCCUGACCCAGCAACGCCGCGUGAAGGAAGAAGGCUUUCGGGUUGUAAACUUCUUUUAAGAGGGAAGAGCAGAAGACGGUACCUCUUGAAUAAGCCACGGCUAACUACGUGCCAGCAGCCGCGGUAAUACGUAGGUGGCAAGCGUUGUCCGGAUUUACUGGGUGUAAAGGGCGUGUAGCCGGGCUGACAAGUCAGAUGUGAAAUUCCGGGGCUCAACCCCGGACCUGCAUUGGAAACUGUUGGUCUUGGGUAUCGGAGAGGCAGGCGGAAUUCCUGGUGUGGCGGUGAAAUGCGUAGAUAUUAGGAGGAACACCAGUGGCGAGGGCGGCCUGCUGGACGACAACUGACGGUGAGGCGCGAAAGCGUGAGAGGCAAACAGAAUUGGCUACCCAGUAGUC